UUUCCGUAGGUGAACCUGCGGAAGGAUCAUUAUCGAAUUUCGAGGGGAAGGAAGAUGAGGAGUGGAGACUGUCGCUGGCUUUUCCGCCUGGGAAGCAUGUGCACGCCUUGCUUUCCGUUGACCUUUCUCUUACUCUCACACCUGUGCACCCAUUGUAGGUCCUCGAAAGUGGAUCUAUGUUUUUAUCAUCACACGCAUCGUAUGUCCAUAGAAUGUAACAUGAUCGUCGAUCGACCUCGCGGUCGGGUGGCGGUCUAAAUAAAUAAAUACAACUUUCAGCAACGGAUCUCUUGGCUCUC
rnacentral:misc_RNA from 1 species